UGGUUUUUUGUAAACAGUAUUCUCAGUGGAUGCUGUUGUUAAGGUGAUUAUGAUUUAAUGAUAGGCCUGGCAAUACGUAAAAUUUUUCUUUUUAUUUUAUUAAAGGAAAUCUAUUUACGUCGAAUUAGUAACAAAGAGAAUAUGCAAAGAAUUACAUCUUUGGUUUAUUUUUUCAUAUAUAAGCACAUAUAUGUAUUUUUCUUUUGUUUGUCAUUUGCAAAGCAUCAGAGUUAUGAGAUAUUUUACUUUGAUGUUGCAAAAUAUUUUAUGGAAUUAAACAUUCUUAAUCCAAGGCUUGAUACAAUACCCACAUGUACAUUGGAAGUAUGAGAUUGUCAUUCUCCGUUGAGACACCUUCCAAAAUGGCCGUACAUAAGGACAUAAACAGCGUUUUCCAAAACGUUACUGAAGGACACACAUGAAAAGCUUGCGUCAAGUGUAAAACGAGAAACACUGAGAUUGAAAAGGCAAAUACCCCCUCAAUACUUUUAUUCGUUUUUGAGAUCCUAUGUUUUCCGAACCUUUUCCCAAUUAUGCUAGCCAUAGAAUCUCCACACCCUAAACAUAAAACACCAACCAGUAAUUCAACCGACGCAACAGGACCUUUUAAAGCAUUCGAAAGCCAAAUAGGAAUUGCACAACCAAUUAAAAGAUAUAUAUGGGAAAUAAUCAAGGGGCCCUUGUGAUCCCUGUUAUCGGUAUACUCCCAUAAAAAUUCAUGGAUCAUUUUUCCAAAUGGCUUAAGACGAAGUAUGCGUAUACCUUCAACAAACAGAAAUAUGAAUAAAACUCCCGAAAAAGACAGGUGGAGAAAAUGAGGAUCUAAGCAACAAACCGGAAGAAAUAAAAAGACAACCAAAGCAUGAUAUGU